rnacentral:rRNA from 1 species
AACGAACGCUGGCGGCAUGCCUAACACAUGCAAGUCGAACGAGACCUUCGGGUCUAGUGGCGCACGGGGGCGUAACGCGUGGGAACCUGCCCUUAGGUUCGGAAUAACUCCCCGAAAGGGGUGCUAAUACCGGAUAAUGUCUUCGGACCAAAGAUUUAUCGCCUUUGGAUGGGCCCGCGUUGGAUUAGCUAGUUGGUAGGGUAAAAGUCUACCAAGGCGACGAUCCAUAGCUGGUCUGAGAGGAUGAUCAGCCACACUGGGACUGAGACACGGCCCAGACUCCUACGGGAGGCAGCAGUGGGGAAUAUUGGACAAUGGGCGAAAGCCUGAUCCAGCAAUGCCGCGUGAGUGAUGAAGGCCUUAGGGUUGUAAAGCUCUUUUACCCGGGAUGAUAAUGACAGUACCGGGAGAAUAAGCUCCGGCUAACUACGUG